UCACAUUUUCGAGUAUGCAUUCAUAUACUGUAUUCUCUUGUCUGUUACCAGAUAUUUGUCAGUUUCAGCUGAAUGGUGUUGUUGGGUUCAACAGACAUGUCCCAGCUUGGGUCAGGCUUGUUCCCCAGAAUCUGUCCAGGUGCAGAGUAACAAAACAACACAAAGCAGAUCCGUGGUAGCAGAACUGGAAAAAAUCAAAAGAUUAAACUUUCUGCUGGAGAACAGCCACCUCAUCAGAACUCACAGAAGCUCUCCAGUGCCCUGUGAGGAUUCCACGACCGCUAGUGGCACCACUUACACUGUCAGCGAGACCAGCAUCUCAGAGGCCCUACAGAAAACCUCCAAAGCCAUAAAGGACAUUGAGACUCUACUUUCGCGCAAAGAGUAUGCCAGCAGUAGUCCAGCGUGAACAAGGGGUAUUUCAUAAUUGCAAGAUCUAUUGUGUGAAGAAGAGAUGAACGUGGCUGUAGUGUUUACUGGGCUGUACUGUCCUUGGACACCACGUGUCUUAGCGCUGAAGACACGAGUGAAGGAUGAAGAAUGUCAGUUGUUUGUCAUUUGUAAUUAGACUGUGGUCCUGGGAUAGAACAGAAUGGAUUAUCUUACCAAUUUUUCAUUUUUCGCGGUUCAUGGUCACUUUCUUUCGUUUGUAACACAACCUUCCCCCCCAGAGGAAGAUGAAAAGAGGAAGAGAGUGGCUAAACCACUUACGCUGGCUAUUUUCAAACUUAUCCUGCGUUCAAAUUCUUGUUGACUACAUCAUGGUGAGUGCACUUAGUUAAAGUUUCUUAAAUAGAGCGCCUAAUAAGAUUGUUGGAUAUGUGAAAGGUUACUGCUGGUGUUACAUUAAGCAUGGUUUAGCGCAGUUAUAUGGAUUAGGAUGGUGUUAGUUAUUAGGAUUGUUAUGAGUAAAGAAACACUCUUCCAUCACAUACAACAUUGAACAUAUACGUUUGCUGUGUUUUAAAAAAAAAAAUUCUAUAUUAAAACAAUUAAAGACUAAACCAGGUAAAACCAGCACAGUGCAGUGCAUUUGUACGUUGCAUUAGGAUGAAUGUUCUGUUAUUCCUGUGUCAUUGCAAUUCUACUUUUCUUAUUCCAUUGCAAUUCCUCUUUAUAACAACUUAGAUCAUAUUUUGUGACCGUAUAUAUAUAUAUAUAUAUAUAAGGUGCCUAUGGUUUGAUGAAUAAAAAGCGAAAGUUUAGGAAUUCA
rnacentral:lncRNA from 1 species